AUUGAACGCUGGCGGCGUGUUUAAGACAUGCAAGUCGCACGGUGUCAUUUUGGUAGCAAUACUUGGAUGGCACAGUGGCGCACGGGUGAGUAACACGUGAAUGACAUGCCCUUCAGAGGGGGAUAGCCCAGGGAAACUUGGAUUAAUACCCCAUGGUCUCGCAAGAGUAAAGGUGGCCGCAAGGCUGUCGCUGGAGGAUUGGUUCGCGUUCUAUCAGCUUGUUGGCGGGGUAACGGCCCACCAAGGCUACGACGGAUACCUGGUCUGAGAGGGCGAUCAGGCACACUGGAACUGAGACACGGUCCAGACACCUACGGGUGGCAGCAGUCGAGAAUAAUUCACAAUGGGGGCAACCCUGAUGGUGCAACGCCGCAUGGAGGAUGAAGGUCUUCGGAUUGUAAACUCCUGUCAUCCGGGAGCAAGACCUGACGGUGAAUAGCCGGCAGGGUUGAUAGUACCGGAAGAGGAAGGGACGGCUAACUUCGUGCCAGCAGCCGCAGUAACAC
rnacentral:rRNA from 1 species